rnacentral:rRNA from 1 species
AGUUUGAUUCGGGCUCAGAUUGAACGCUGGCGGGAUGCUUUACACAUGCAAGUCGAACGGCAGCACGGACUUCGGUCUGGUGGCGAGUGGCGAACGGGUGAGUAAUGUAUCGGAACGUGCCUAGUAGCGGGGGAUAACUACGCGAAAGGUAGCUAAUACCGCAUACGCCCUUCGGGGGAAAGCGGGGACCUUCGGGCCUCGCACUAUUAGAGCGGCCGAUAUCGGAUUAGCUAGUUGGUGGGGUAACGGCUCACCAAGGCGACGAUCCGUAGCUGGUUUGAGAGGACGACCAGCCACACUGGGACUGAGACACGGCCCAGACUCCUACGGGAGGCAGCAGUGGGGAAUUUUGGACAAUGGGGGAAACCCCUGGAUCCAGCCAUCCCGCGUGUGCGAUGAAGGCCUUCGGGUUGUAAAGCACUUUUGGCAGGAAAGAAACGGCACGGGAUAAUACCCCGUGCAACUGACGGUACCUGCAGAAUAAGCACCGGCUAACUACGUGCCAGCAGCCGCGGUAAUACGUAGGGUGCAAGCGUUAAUCGGAAUUACUGGGCGUAAAGCGUGCGCAGGCGGUUCGGAAAGAAAGAUGUGAAAUCCCAGAGCUUAACUUUGGAACUGCAUUUUUAACUACCGAGCUAGAGGUGUCAGAGGGAGGUGGAAUUCCGCGUGUAGCAGUGAAAUGCGUAGAUAUGCGGAGGAACACCGAUGGCGAAGGCAGCCUCCCGGGAUAACACUGACGCUCAUGCACGAAAGCGGGGAGCAAACAGGAUUAGAUACCCUGGUAGUCCACGCCCUAAACGAUGUCAACUAGCUGUUGGGGCCUUCGGGCCUUGGUAGCGCAGCUAACGCGUGAAGUUGACCGCCUGGGGAGUACGGUCGCAAGAUUAAAACUCAAAGGAAUUGACGGGGACCCGCACAAGCGGUGGAUGAUGUGGAUUAAUUCGAUGCAACGCGAAAAACCUUACCUACCCUUGACAUGUCUGGAAUCCCGAAGAGAUUUGAGUGCCUCGCAAGAGAACCGGAACACAGGUGCUGCAUGGCUGUCGUCAGCUCGUGUCGUGAGAUGCUGGGUUAAGUCCCGCAACGAGCGCAACCCUUGUCAUUAGUUGCUACGAAAGGGCACUCUAUCGAGACUGCCGGUGACAAACCGGAGGAAGGUGGGGAUGACGUCAAGUCCUCAUGGCCCUUAUGGGUAGGGCUUCACACGUCAUACAAUGGUCGGGACAGAGGGUCGCCAACCCGCGAGGGGGAGCCAAUCCCAGAAACCCGAUCGUAGUCCGGAUCGCAGUCGGCAACUCGACUGCGUGAAGUCGGAAUCGCUAGGUAAUCGCGGAUCAGCGUGUCGCGGUGAAUACUGUUCCUGGUCUUGUACACACCGCCCGUCACACCAUGGGAGUGGGCUUCACCAGAAGUAGUUAGCCUAACCGUAAGGAGGGCGAUUACCACGGUAGGAUUCAUGACUGGGGUGAAGUCGUACAAGGUAGCC